GACGUAGGAGGCAAGCGUUAUCCGGAUUUAUUGGGCGUAAAGGGCAAGUAGGCGGUUCUCAAAGUUGGGCGUGACAUCUCCCGGCUCAACCGUGAGGGUGCGUUCAAAACUAGAGGACUAGAGGGCAGGAGAGUGAAGUGGAAUUCCCAGUGUAGCGGUGGAAUGCUCAGAUAUUGGGAAGAACACCAGUGGCGAAGGCGGCUUCCUGGCCUGCACCUGACGCUGAGAGGCGAAAGCUAGGGUAGCAAACGGGCUUAGAUACCCCCGUAGUCCCU
rnacentral:rRNA from 1 species